UAUUUGAUAGAGGGUAUGCAAUGUUAUGGUUGAUUGUAUAGAGAUGGUUUGUUUGGCCGUUGUUGUAUUUGGAUGAUAGAAUUUGUAAUAGACGGUUUGUUUGGUUUUGUUCAGCAGAUAUUGGGAAUAGUGUGCGAUCAAAUUUUGGAAGUGCUUUGAAUUCAGUCUCUAUAAAAGGUCAAGCACUAAGAUACGAAAGAGAAGACAACAAAUCAGUUUGGGUUCGUUCUGGAAAAGACUGGUUAAGGAGCUUCAUGAUGCAGCAGUCAAAGUUCAGAAAGUUUUGUAUAUCAAACUCGAAGAAACCUUGCAGAUCGUGCAGUGGUGGCUGAGGAGAUGGAAACCUUUUAGAUUCUGCAGCUCUCAAGCAGAGUUCUGUGUCAUUCUUCGAUGUUGAGAAGCUGGAAAUCGCCUCUUUGUGGUAGGCAAGGGCUAGGACUAGGCUGCGAAGAUUGCAAAAGGUUUGUCUAAGGAUGAGAAAGCACAAAAGUUAGCUCUUCAACAUUGGCUUGAAGCUAUUGAUCCACGCCAUCAGUAUAGACACAAUUUACUCAUGUACUACUACUAUUUGUGGUUUGAAAGUCAGAGCAGCCAGCUUUCUUCUACUGGCUGAAUGUUGGAGAUGGCAAGGAAACAAAUCUUGAGCUAUGCUUGAGGACAGUCUACAGAGCCAAUGCAUCAAGUACCUUGGACCGAAAGAAAGAAAAGCCUAUGAAGUAGUAGUCAAAGAUAGUGGUAGUAUGCUUUCAGAGUUUUAACCUGCUCCGAAAACCUUUUUCCAACCAUCAGCUUACUGUAACUUAAUUUUCAUUUGGAUCAUAUAAGAUCUAUGAU